rnacentral:rRNA from 1 species
CCUACGGGCGGCAGCAGUGGGGAAUUUUCCACAAUGGGCGAAAGCCUGAUGGAGCAACGCCGCGUGUGUGAUGAAGGUCUUCGGAUCGUAAAGCACUUUCGACCGGGACGAAAAACCUCUGGCUAACAUCCAGGGGCCUGACGGUACCGGGAGAAGAAGCACCGGCUAACUCUGUGCCAGCAGCCGCGGUAAUACAGAGGGUGCAAGCGUUGUUCGGAAUUGUGGGGAGGCGAGUUGGCAAGUGCGACGUGAAAGCCCAUGGCUUAACCAUGGAAGUGCGUCUGAAACUGCCGAGCUUGAGUGCCGGAGAGGAUGGCGGAAUUCCGCAAGUAGAGGUGAAAUUCGUAGAUAUGCGGAGGAACACCGGUGGCGAAGGCGGCCAUCUGGACGGUAACUGACGCUGAGACGCGAAAGCGUGGGGAGCAAACAGGAUUAGAUACCCCAGUAGUC